CCUGCUCUGAUUGUAGUGUAAUGAGACAAGCAGGGAGAGUGAGCUCGUCUGUGGUGGUCGACGAACCCUCAACCUUCUGGCCCAUAGCCCUGCGUGGCAUCAACUGUACCACGAAACCAUGCUGAAGUAGCAACGUUACAGGACAAGGAGAAGGUCUGAGUAGACCCAGUAAAUGUUGUGGACACUCAACCUGUUUUUCUUUCCAUCAGAAAGUUCCAGGAAAAUUCAAAAAACUGUUUUUGGAACUGGAGCUGUUGACAGACCCCUCUCUCAACCACAAAGCCUACAGGGACACUUUCAAGAAGACCAAGACGCCGAAGAUCCCUUUCCUUCCUCUGCUACUGAAAGAUAUCACUUUCAUUCACGAGGGCAACAAAACGUUUCUCGUAACCUGGUGAAUUUUGAAAAGCUGCACAUGAUAGCCGACACGGUGCGUCUAUCAACACUGUCAGGAGGAUCACAUGGG